rnacentral:lncRNA from 1 species
AAGCACGUCAACAACUAUUACCCCAGAGUGUUCCAAAUAACAUGUCAUCUGCUGGAGUUCAAAGUUCUACUGGUUUACAAUCUGGGAUGCCUUCUGUCUCUGGACCAACCCAGAAUUCUAUACCUGAUGUUGUUGGCCAGAAUUCCAACAUGCAAAACUUGUCUGAAAUUUCACAGAACUCACUGGGGCAAGGGAUAUCUUCCAAUAUUUUUACUAUUCAGCAGAGGCAAAUGCAAGGAAGGCAACGGGUGCUACUGCAACAGCAGCAGCAGCAGCAGCAGCAACUAUACCCUCAGCAGUUACAACAGCAACUUAUGAAGCAAAAGAUUCAACAAGGAAAUCUCCAGCCUUCACUUAUGCAGUUUCACAUGCCGCAACAGCAACAGCAAAACCUGUUACCACCUACUCAGUUGCAAUCUUGCUUGCAAUCUGGUAUGCAAACAUCAUCCGUUAUGCAGCCAUCUGCCAUGCAAUCAACUCCUCUUACUGGUCUUCAAAAGAAUCAACAAUCUUCUCUACAAGAGUCAAUACAGUCCAUGCUUCAACAGCAUCAACAGCCGCAAUCGGCCACCAGUGUUGGUAUUCUUCAACAACAAACAGCAAUGACACAGCAGUCAAUGAUGCCUCAGCAGCAGCAACAGCCUCCACAGCCACAGCAACAGCUGCAGCAGCCAAACAUAAUGGGACAACAGACAAAUGCUGCAAAUAUAAAGCAAAAUCAGUUAAUUGGACAACAAAAUAGCAUUGUGGACAUGCAGCAGCAGAGAUUGCUAGGCCAGCCUAAUAAUCUUCCAAACCUGCAGCGGCAGCAGCAGCAGCAUCAGUUAAUGGCUAAACAAAACCUCUCAAAUAUCCAUCAGCAACAGUUGGGUCCUCAAAGUAAUAUUUCAGGAUUACAGCAACAGCAGCAGCAGCAAUUGAUUGGAACCCAGUUGGGUAACUCAAGCAUGCAAACUAAUGAGCACAUGCUACCCCAGCCUAAGGUUUCACUCCAACAAACGCAGCAGAGUGCACCUAAUUUGUUACCAACUCAACGACAGACAUCCCAGCAGCCAGCAGCCAGCAGCAGCAGCAACAGCAACUGAUGUCACAGAUGCAAUUACAGUCUACUCAGCUGCAGCAACAAUUGGGUUUGCAAACAGCAGCCCAAUCAAUUACACCAAAAUAUGCAGCCAAGGCUUCACGCAUCAGGUCAACUAUCAUGUUCCUUGCUUCAAUCACAAAAUUUGAUAGAUCAGCAAAAGCAUUUGUAUCAAUCGCGCAGAGCUGUUCCAGAGACAUCAUCAAGUAUGUUUUUGAAUGUUUGCAGUUGCUUACUUUGUUCUUUCCUUGUUUCUUUCUGAUCUUGUGUUAUUUAACUAAUCUAUGCAAUUUUUUCCUCUGAUACUAGCACAUUUUAUCCUUGAAGCCUGAAAAAAAUCUAUUUUCUCAUAUAGCUACUAUAGUUGAUGCUAUUGUUUUUCAUUGCAUUUCUAUUACAGAAAAUAAUUUCCAUUCCAACUUGGGGGGAUUAAGAGAAUAUCUUUUUGAACUUGCACUACGUUGUCCUAUCAAAGCACAUUUUGCCUAGAUGAUUAGUUCUUAGCUAACAAAGACAAAUGCUACCAAAAUUAAUGGCACCCUUGCCUUCAUAAGCUGAUCAUGGGCACUGCCUGGCUUUUUAUGCCACCAGAAACAUUGUUGUUACUGUGGAAAACUCAGAAAUAAAACUGUGGAAAUCUAAGAGUAAAAACUGAAUGUUUAUUGAAAAAUUACACAUUAAGAAUUAUACAAGAACCUUAGUUUAUAUACAAUUAACUAGGGGUUCAACUGGGAAACUAAAUCUUCCUAAAAACUGAUCCUAUGAUUGAGGGAUUGUCUAUCAUUAUCCUUAAUUCUAGGGAUACAAAUACUUAAUUCUAGAGAUACAAAAAUUAAUAUACAGAUUACAAGAUUCCGUGUCACUGCUAAGUUUCCACUGCUGUCACUGUGCUAUUAUGUUACUUUUAACACUCACUCUAGUUAUUAUGCAAUGAUUUUGUCAAACCACAAAGCAAUGGCUGGAUUUAAUCUAUUCAUUUUAUCAACAAAUAAUUCAUGCUGUUUUAUUCAACGAGUUUUCAUGUUUGGCUAUAAAACAUUCUUCUGGAAAUAAGUAAACUGUGUUUUGUGUGCAAAGAGAAGUGACCAUUUUGUUGGUUAAGCUCAAAGAGCAGAAACAAAAUGCAUAAACUCACUCAUACCCCUCAUAUUCAUUUGAAUUUUAGAAUAGUCAGAUAUUUCUAGCAGCUUGUUUGAUUAUGUCGGGUUGGUGUGAUUCCUUUGUCCGACUUAAAUAUUGUUGUUCUUUCUUGUAAUCUAGCUUUCAAAAAUGUUCCCACCACUUAAUUUAACAAAAAAUUAUGAUUAGGAGAUUGCAGUCCUGAUUGAGAACAGCUAGUUACUGUUUUUGCAUCAAAAUAGAGGGUAAACAUGCUUGCAAAUGUCAGAGGAGUUUUGUUUGAAUGAAGAAUGCAUAACGAAUGACUAGAUAAGCAAGAGGGUGACAGCGAGCUGGUUCAUGCAUGCAUGAAAUGGUUAAAAGGGUGUCAAAACUCAAAAUUGUCUUAGUAGUGUUUUGAUUUAGUCUAACGGCUUUUAUUGAAACAUUAAAUUUGUGCUGUAGAAAUAAUUAAGUUCUAUAUGAACCCUAUAUUCCUUGAGUCUAAUUUGUUCCCUAAAUUUUUUUAGUACUUGAGUUUGACUCGCCCUUAUUUGCUUGACAUAUUUAUUUUUAAUGAAUAACAAGUCUGUAGCAGAAAAUAGUUUAACUUUUUUUAGGUUUUCCUUCUCAUGAACACUUAAACUUAUCUAUCAUUUACUCCUGUUCCAACUGAACUUCUUUUUUGUAGAUGGCAAAUGUAUAGUUAGCUUUUAACUUGAGAAACUCUAUAAGUAGCCUUGAAAAAUAAGAAAGAUGUUUGAACUUGGAAUUUGUCUCUCUGUGUCACUAUGGAAAGUCAAAAUUAAAAAAUUUUCUACUUUUGUAAGCGUACAUCUUAGAAUAUCCCAAAAGUAAAAGGCAGUGAAAACGGGGUGUAGGGAGCAUGUUUUUAAUGAGUAACCUCUAAAAUUUGGAUACGCAUGGUUAGUUGCAGAAACUAGCAAUAAAAUUUUCUCAUAUGUCAAUGUCCAAAAUGUUUAAUGGUUUCUUCAAAUGCCUUUCAGUUGUAACCCGUGGUGGGUCUGAUGGAAUUUUGGGACAUAGGAAUUGAUUAUUGGUUGCAUUAUGAACCCUGUCGAUAUCCCGAUCAAUGCUAUGUGUACUUUAAUUUGCUUUCAGAGUUGGUUGUUUUCUGCUCAUAAUUUACCCGUCUUCCAUAAAUUAUCUAUUUCAAUGUUCUGUUACAUAUGCAACAAAAUAAUGUACCUUCACGCGUAUGGAACAAUUUUCUUUCAUUUAAAUUAUGUUUUCCUUGCGUAUUCUUCUUCCUUCAUAAAUUUCCAUUUUUCUUAUGUGUGUAGAAUUUAUUUAUCCUUUUCUUUUAGCAUCUUUAGAUUCCACAGCUCAAUCAGGACAUGCAAAUGGGGGUGAUUGGCAAGAAGAGGUCUAUCAGAAGGUAAAAACUAUCUUGACUUAUUCUCCUAUAGAUAUUAUUACAGUUUCAACUUGGUUUUAAGAAGGUUUUAGGUGUAGGAAAGUGGUUCUGAAAAAGAAUAUUAGAGUAUGUUGGGAUGCAUCUCAUAGCAGGAACCAUAAAACUGAAGAAGUAGGAACUUAAAACAAAUUUGGUAAAAGAAAUUCAGACAUUUUCUGAAUUACUUAUUACUUUGUUAAUAAGAACUUGAAUUCUUUUGGCUUGUUCUUAGAAGAAAGAAAAUAAAGUUUAUUUAAAUCCUUCAGCUCUCUACUAAAGAUCCAUUAAAAUUGGUGAGCAAGAAACCUAAGACCAAGGGUAUCUUGCAUACUUGCCUUCAAAGUAAUCAUCAUUUAUCGACACCUUUGUUUCUUCUGUUAUUGACUAAUAUCAGUGCCUGCUAGUCGGAAAAUGGAAAAAUCUUGUUACUUUUCUAAUAAAUCAUGACACUGGGAUAAAUUGAGUGGUUUAAUUGUUGGUUAAGCAUUCUGUUCCUGAUUUUAUGUUGCAGAUCAAGGCCAUGAAAGAGACAUACUUACCUGAAUUAAAUGAGAUGUACCAGAAAAUUGCUGCCAAGUUGCGGCAGGUAUGUUUAUUCUUUUACAUAAUCAUAUAUAUUCAUUCCCUAACCUCCAAGGAGUGAUAGAACCCAUCUGCCCCGUAGUCUGCCACCCUGUGUCUCUAAAUAGAAUUUAGAGAGGACUUUACUGUUCCACAUUAGAAAGCUGUUGAACCCAUACCACUUUUGGGUUGCUACUCGAAUCCCCUUACCAUAGACACUGUUUAGUGGUUGCACUUAUGCAUAUUUGUUGUAAUAGUUGUUUGUAGUUUUACUGGCAUCAGUUAAAACAAUUUUAUGUGUACCAUUUUCCAGCAUGAUUCUCUUCCACAGCAGCCAAAGUCAGAGCAGCUUGAAAAGUUGAAAAUGUUCAAGAUCAUGUUGGAGCACGUUAUAUCUUUCUUAUCAGUUCCCAAAGCCAGUAUCGCACCCACUUUCAAGGAUAAGUUGAGUUUGUAUGAGAAGCAGAUAGUAAAUAUUUUAAAUACCAAUAGGCCAAGGAAGGCAGUCUCAGCACUGCAGCAAGGACAGCUUCUUCCACCUGAUAUGCAUUCCAUGCCGCAGCCACAACCUCAAAUUAAUCAGACACAGUCUCAUGAUAAUCAAAUGAUCCCUCAGUUGCAGUCAACGAAUUUACAAGGUUUUGUUCCAACAAUGCAGCCGAACAACAUGACAAGUUUGCAGCAUAAUUCUGUGUCUUCCUUACCUGGGGUUGCAACAGCGCAGCAGACCAUGUUAAAUUCGCUGCACCCCAGUUCCAAUUUGGAUGCGGGACAAGGUAAUGCCCUAGGCUCAAUGCAGCAGGCUGCUGCAGGACCUUUACAACAGAAUCCUGUGAGUACCUCCCAACAGGCAAAUAUUAACAGUUUAUCUUCACAAAGUGGGUUAAGUGUCCUGUUGCAAAACACGAAUCCUUUUCAGUCAAAUUCCAACAUGCUUCAGCACCAGCAUAUGAAACAACAGCAGGAACAGCAAAUGCUGCAGUCACAAAUGUACAAACAACAGUUUCAACUGCUUCAGAUGCAGCGGAAGCUGCGGCUACUGCAACAGCUACAGCAACAGCAACAAAAGCAGCUGCAUGAAAUGGAUGAUAUAAAUGACGUGAACAUGAGACAGGGAAUCGGUGUUAAUCCUGGGGUUCUUCAAGCAAAUCUCUCAACUGACCAACUUCCAGGUUAUUCAUAUGAGCAUUCAAAACCUAGUGUCCAAUUUCAUACAUCUUCCACCCCCCGCUCUUUCAGGCUCCAUUUGUCCGCACCUACUUCAAUCCCCCGUUGGAGUCCAUAUCCCUCGCCUGAGAACACUGAGAAAUCUAUCUAUGGCGCUUCCUCUCUGUCAAAUAACAAAAAUAUUAGUCAGCAGCAAGGAAAGAUCUGAAUUCCCUGCACUGACACACUUGGUAAUGGUAAUGGUCAACAUCACCUUUGCUUACUGUGUUCGAAAAUGCUAAUGAUGCUCACAGUAUUGCUUUAACAACUGAUUUUGGCAAGUCGAAGGUUACAGAACUGCCACAUGAUCCCCAGAGUUACCAUGGUUAGUGAAGCUUAAUUAAUUUUCAUUGUUCACAUUAUCUUUUUCAAUUUGCUCCUUUGGCUUGAUAUGUUGUUCAUGUAGUGAAAGAGUGGAAAAAAACCUUGAAAUCCUUCCUUUUUUUUUUUCCUUCUAUUUGACUUUAAUCUUCUAAUAUAGUUUGUUUUAGCUUUUGAAAUGAUGUUGGUUCUAUUACUAUUUUAUAAAGUUUCAGGCAAAACCCAUGUCACUUAAAUCAUUGGAGGCAUCCGUUGUGACCAUGGUUGAUGAGGCAAGCCUCUGCAAGUUGGUGUGGAUGUGGCCGCCACGAGCAAGGGUGGUUUGCGUCGAAGAAGUUUCUUUCCACAAAGUGGAAUGACUGGAGCCGAGAAAAUGAGAUUCUACAUGAGUGCACUGUCUAUGUUAGCUCUAAUGUUUUGGUUCGUUAUAAUAACAUCUGCAUGAGCAGUAGCAAACAAAUUUCCAAAGCUUUUUAUGCUUGGGUAAAAGAGGAAAGGCCCAUUGGUUAUAGCAUGGAUUUCUCUUGUAAGGAGUCAAGAUGAUACUAUUACGACAAAUUGUUGGCAGGUGUUUGCUUAUUUAAAGGUUUUUGAACUUGUUUACAUUCCUAUGAAAUAUAUUAGGAGAUGCAUGCAUCAAAGUUCAUGCCGUUUAAGCCUCAGUGCAUGCCGUUUCUGACCAAUCUAGCCAUGUAAUAACACUAGUUAUCUUACUAAACACAUAAUUUGACCCUAGCUUUUUUUAUCGAGUGACAAGGGUGUUUAGGGUUUUAUGUUUGGGUCGAUCUAAGGUUAUCCAAUACCUUUAGGUGAAGAGCCAUCUAGAUUAGAAAUACCUAGAUGUAAUAAGAGAUAAUGAUCACUUUUAUUUUUCAAUAGGAAAGAGAGAAAAAGAAGGUGAAGUUGGUAUUGAUUUGACGAAAUGUCACAUUUGUAGUCAAAUUUGCUAAAUAUUCAUUGAUGGAAGUGGACCCUUGCAUGUGCUGCCUACACAAAUGGUCCCUUUUUAUUGUUUAAGAUUCUUAAUCACUAAAGGAUUUUUCUUUUCUUUUCUUUUUUUUUUUUAAUAAUAUCAUUAUGACUAUGCUUAGAUUUUGUGGAAAUUUAAUUUUUUAGAUAAUUUUAAGAAUAUAUUUUUUCAUAUAAAUCUCAUGUAUAUACUUUUUUUUAUUUCAAAAUGUCAUUUAUUAAUUUUUAACAAAAUUUAAGAAAAAUUUUAGAUUUUAGUGUGUUUAAUUUUAAAAUUUAAAAUUUUUUUAUAAAUUAAAGUUUUAUGACUUUUAAUGUCAAAAAGUUAAAAAAAUCAUAAAAUUUAAUUUUAAAAUAUAAAAAUAAAAAUUUUAAAUGUUAAAAAAAUCCAACAUAAUUUGAGACAUUUCAAAAAGGAAAGAUUGAAAAAAAAUAGGACAAAAGGAAUAUGAUUUUAUUUUUAUAUAUUUUUCAUAAAAAUAGAAUCCUAAUUAAUACGAAUAAAAAUGUAAAAAAAAAAAAAAAAAACAACCAUAGAAAUCCGAACUUGGAAGGAAAAAAAAAAAAGAUUAAGUGGGCAACUUCAACAUGCAAGGUUCGCACUAGUAAAUUCCACAUGUUACCAUGUAAUUGUAACCUAACCAUUUUCACUAAAAGUACUACAAUAUUUUGAUUUUAAGUGAUUACUUUUGAUUAAAUGUGUAAAUAAUACAUUAAUAUUUUUAAGUUAUUCGAGUUCGAUUCGAAUAAAAUUUGAAUUCGGUUCAAUUAUUAUGUAGUCGAGUUCGAGCUCGAUUAGUUCGAUUCAUCGAUCGAAUCGAGUUCGAGUAUUUUUAUACUUAGCUCGAGUAACUCGCGAGUUUAAUCGAAUUUUUAUAUUUAAAUUUUAUUUAUUAUUUUAAUUAAUAAAAUAUCUCGAAUUCGAGUUCGAACUCGAGCAUAAAUAAUUGAGCUCUUAUCGAGUAUAAGAAUCAAGCUUAUUUUUAUAUAUUUUCGAGCUUAAUCGAACGAGUUCGAGUAAUUUAAAUUCGAUCACAAAUCGAAUUCAAGAUAAAAAAAUGAAUCUUGAUCGAAUUCGAACUGAAUAUCGAGUCACGAGUUGAAAAUCAAGCUAUAAUUUAAAUUUUUUAUUGUAUCGAUUUGACUCUUACUUUUAACAAUGAAUUUACGUGAUUGAACGAGGAUAAAUUUUACUUUUAGAUCUUUUGCUUCUUGUAAGCUUGGGACUUGUUUUCUCAUUUGAGUGCUACAGUAUAUGAAUUGAUGGUUCUCUUUUCUUCUUACUAACUGAAUUAUACCCAUUCAUUAAAUAACUUAUAGCUGUAACGGACACUAGUGGUCUUGCUUUUCUAUAUCAUUUUAUGAACGAUGGUAAUUUUGGUAUGUGGUCUAUUUGAAUGUAGCUGAUAUAUGAAGGUCAUGAUGGCCACUUUGUUUAUUUGGGAGAACUUUGUUAAAUUCCAAUGCCAUGGCUUCUAGAUAUUUGAAUGAGACAGUCCUGAACAAGUUAAUGAGGAAAAUCUUUUGGUGGUCAGAUUAUAUCCUGGUUAAUUUUCAUUUGAUUUUAUGUUAACUUCACAAUUUGGUCAUGGCAUUGUUUUAUUAACCAUGGAAGAUUCUUAUAUAUAUCCGUUUGGUUUGUCGAUAACUUACACAAUGCCUUGUGUGCAUAGAAUGGACACAUUGAAGAGGCACCUUCCAUUUUCUGGCCAAGAGGGUUUAAAUGAACUCAGGAAAAUCGCAGUAAGGUUCGAGGAAAAGAUUUUUACAGCAGCAAACAGCCAGGUAAUCAUAGAAUAUUGGCAUUCCUUAACCUGCUUGGAUGCAUUGUUGUUUACCUAUAUUUUGUUUGUUUGCGUUGUGUGUGUGUAUCUUUGUGUUUCUUUUUUUUCUUAUUCAUAUGUAUAGACAUGCAUAUGUCACGGAUCGAGACUUAAGCUCCGAACCCGCGCGGCUCUGGAACCUGGGCAUUCACCCUUUCGGCAUCCCAGAUCAGCCUUCCUGCCACGGUUCACACCCUUGUGAGGUAUUGUCCGCUCUGACCCCCUGACCUCACGGUUUUGUCCUACAAAAGGCGCUUCACAAGGCGGAGAUGGUGUGAACCCUUUUAUACUCCAGGGACCUUUCUAUUAUGUUCGAUGUGGGAUUCAGGACUCCCUCUUAGGUCCGUGACAUUUUCUCGUACCCAACCUCGUGACGCCCUCGUCACGGAGGCCGGCCACCCUGCCUACCUCCCUCGAGGUGCUUGGCGUGGAUCGAAAGGUUUAGGGCUGGCUCUGAUACCACUUGUCACAGGUCGAGACUUAAGCUCCGAACCCGUGCGGCUCCGGGACCCGGGCAUUCACCCUUCUGGCGUCCCAGAUCAGCCUUCCUGCCACGGUUCACACCCUUUUGAGGUAUUGUUUGUCACGGACCUAAGGAAGAGUCCUAAAUCCCACAUCGAACAUAAUAGGAGGGUCUCUGGGGUAUAAAAAAGUUCACACCACCUCUGCCUUGUGAGUCGCCUUUUGUAGGACAAAACCGUGAGGCCAAGGAGGCCAGAGCGGACAAUACCUCACAAGGGUGUGAACCGUGGCGGUCAGGCUGAUUCGGGAUGUCGGAAGGGUGAAUGCCCGAGUCUCGGAGCCGCGCGGGUUCGGAGCUUAAGUCUCGACCCGUGACAAGUGAUAUCAGAGCCAGCCCUAAACCGUUUGAUCCACGCCGAGCACCUCGAGGGAGGUAGGCAGGGUGGCCGACUUCCGUGAUGAGGGCGUCACGAGGUUGGGUGCGAGAGAAUGUCAUGGACCUAAGGAAGAGUCCUGAAUCUCACAUCGAACAUAAUAGGAGGGUCCCUGGGGUAUAAAAGGGUUCACACCACCUCCGCCUUGUGAGGCACCUUUUGUAGGACAAAACUGUGAGGUCAGGGGGGCCAGAGCGAACAAUACCUCAUAAGGGUGUGAACCGUGGCAGAUAGGCUGAUCCGAGACGCCGGAAGGGUGAAUGCCCAGGUCCCGGAGCCGCGCGGGUUCGGAGCUUAAGUCUCGACCCGUGACACCAACUGUCACGGGCUCCGACCUUAGACUCAGAAUCCGUGCGGCCUUAGGCUUGGAAUCUCCUCCUUUAUGCCUAAAUCAGCCUAAAACACAAGCGUGCGGGCACUAAAACAAUGGGAAUGGCUGAUUACGCAAGUUAAAGAAAAACAGGACAAAAAGACAGAAUUCUGGAAAUGCUCUUGUAUUCAUUGGUGUGAACCCUUUUAUACCCUAGUGACCUUCCUAUUAUGUUCGAUGUAAGAUUCAGGACUCUCUCUUAGGUCCGUGACAUUCUCCCGCACCCAACCUCGUGACGCCCUCGUCACGGAGGCUGGCCACCCUGCCUACCUCCCUCGAGGUGCUUGGCGUGGAUCGAACGGUUUAGGUCCGUGACAUUCUCCCGCACCCAACCUCGUGACGCCCUCGUCACGAAGGCUGGCCACCCUGUCUACCUCCCUCGAGGUGCUUGGCGUGGAUCGAACGGUUUAGGGCUGGUUCUGAUACCACUUGUCACGGGUCGAGACUCAAGCUCCGGGACCCAGGCAUUCACCCUUCCGGCGUCCCGGAUCAACCUUCCGUCACGGUUCACACCCUUGUGAGGUGUUGUCGGCUCCGGCCCCCCUGACCUCACGGUUUUGUCCUACAAAAGGCGCCUCACAAUGCGAAGAUGGUGUGAACCCUUUUAUACCCCAGUGACCUUCCUAUUAUGUUCGAUGUGGGAUUCAAGACUCCCUCUUAGGUCCGUGACACAUACACCUAGACUCCUUGUCAAUUACAUUAGAAGUAAAUAAGAAAGAAAUCCAGGGAGGAAAGAGAGCAGAGGUAGGAAAAAACAAAGAUGCUAAAUGCUAACUCAUUAUUAAGCAUGGUUAAUAUAACAUAUUUGAUAAUCUUGUCUUGUAUUUGAAUAAUGAAGUAAAGGCUGUUUACUCUAAUGCCGAAUGGAUUGCUAUAUUCAGUCGGAUUAUCUGAGGAGAAUAUCCUUGAAGAUGCUUACUAUGGAGAACAAGUCUCAGAAUACUAUGCCCAACUCUGGGAAUAACAGCAAGCCCCCUGAUCCAGGUAAUAGCAGGAAACAGCAUUUUGCUUUGAUGUAUUCUACAAGUAGGACAUUUUCCGUUUACAUGUCCUUUCUGUUCUUUAACAUGCAGAGUUGUUUAACUUGCAACAUUUAUGCACAUAUUAUUUCUGCAGCUAUUUGAAUGAAAAUUACCUAUAUUUUAACUCUUUUGUCCCCUUAACAAAGCGUGGUUGUUUUGGUGGGUUGGAGUUGUUUAAGGAUUGUUUUGAUGAGCACCCAAACAGAAAGGCCUAUUUGUUGUUCCCAUGAUUGUAGUCUUUCUGCGUGGGAUGCACCUCUUCAUGUGCUAGGCCUAGGAAUAAUUUUAUUAUUUUUUCAUGAUCCUCAUGGUAUGAUUCAAUUGCCCUCACAUGUUUUAAGUCUAGUUAUCUUUUUGAAUGAAUUACUGCUUCAGUAUUUUUGUUGUUUAUCUUGUUCUAAAUGUUCUUCAAUUCAGUUCUUGUGGGUUCUUCCCAACUUUUCUUUCUGAAUAUAAAAAUCUUGGGUAGGUUCUCAGGGCAUGCAAAACCAAGUUUACAGUCAAGGGCUAUCAAUUCCUAUCCAAUACAAAGUAAUCAGUCUCAAGCACGUCAACAACUGUUACCCCAGUGUGUUCCAAAUAACAUGUCAUCUGCUGGAGUUCAAAGUUCUACUGGUUUACAAUCUGGGAUGGCUUCUGUCUCUGAACCAACCCAGAAUUCUAUACCUAAUGUUGUUGGCCAGAAUUCCAACAUGCAAAACUUGUCUGAAAUUUCACAGAACUCACUGGGGCAAGGGAAAUCUUCCAAU